UUCUCCUGAAGAUUUUAGUCAUUUAAACCAUUUCACCAAUGCAUUCACCAGGUGAGGAAUUCGGUCAAAUUGAAAAGGAUCAUGCAAACUAUUCUUUCUCUGGGAAAUGCUUUGAACCAAGGAACUGCUAGGGGUUCUGCUGUUGGUUUUCGGUUGGAUAGUCUCCUUAAACUCACAGAUACACGAGCUCGGAAUAAAAAGAUGACUCUCAUGCAUUAUCUUUGUAAGGUCCUGAGCCAAAAGUUGCCAGAAUUAAUAGAU